UCCGGUUUAUCACCGGCAGUCUCCCUAGAGUUCCCACCUUUACGUGCUGGCAACUAAGGAUAAGGGUUGCGCUCGUUGCGGGACUUAACCCAACAUUUCACAACACGAGCUGACGACAGCCAUGCAGCACCUGUCUUACGGUUCCCGAAGGCACAUCAGCAUCUCUGCUAACUUCCGUAGAUGUCAAGAGUAGGUAAGGUUCUUCGCGUUGCGUCGAAUUAAACCACAUGCUCCACCGCUUGUGCGGGCCCCCGUCAAUUCAUUUGAGUUUUAAUCUUGCGACCGUACUCCCCAGGCGGUCUACUUAAUGCGUUAGCUGCGAUACUCACGGUACAAGACCACGAACAUCUAGUAGACAUCGUUUACGGCGUGGACUAC
rnacentral:misc_RNA from 1 species